rnacentral:lncRNA from 1 species
UCGGAGUAAAGUCGUUCGUAGUCGAAAGAAGUCUGGAAGAGAUUCAGAGAAUAGUCGAUCACUGUAGAAAAUCGGCUGAUAGUGAAGUUCAGAAAGCAUUUGGAGCAACCCGGUAGAUGAAUGGAGGAGCUUAUUAUCGAAGAAGUCCAGAUGGUAUUGUGGAAGCUCGGACGAUCAAGAGAGUUUAGAAAGACGCCACACA